rnacentral:rRNA from 1 species
CAGUAGCCGCGGUAAUACAGAGGGUGCGAGCGUUAAUCGGAUUUACUGGGCGUAAAGCGUGCGUAGGCGGCUAAUUGAGUCGGAUGUGAAAUCCCCGAGCUUAACUUGGGAAUUGCAUUCGAUACUGGUUAGCUAGAGUGUGGGAGAGGAUGGUAGAAUUCCAGGUGUAGCGGUGAAAUGCGUAGAGAUCUGGAGGAAUACCGAUGGCGAAGGCAGCCAUCUGGCCUAAUACUGACGCUGAGGUACGAAAGCAUGGGGAGCAAACAGGAUUAGAUACCCCGGUAGUCCCUGUCUCUUAUAA